rnacentral:rRNA from 1 species
AUUGAACGCUGGCGGCAGGCUUAACACAUGCAAGUCGAGCGGAGAGAGGUAGCUUGCUACUGAUCUUAGCGGCGGACGGGUGAGUAAUGCUUAGGAAUCUGCCUAUUAGUGGGGGACAACAUUUCGAAAGGAAUGCUAAUACCGCAUACGUCCUACGGGAGGAAGCAGGGGAUCUUCGGACCUUGCGCUAAUAGAUGAGCCUAAGCCGGAUUAGCUAGUUGGUGGGGUAAAGGCCUACCAAGGCGACGAUCUGUAGCGGGUCUGAGAGGAUGAUCCGCCACACUGGGACUGAGACACGGCCCAGACUCCUACGGGAGGCAGCAGUGGGGAAUAUUGGACAAUGGGCGCAAGCCUGAUCCAGCCAUGCCGCGUGUGUGAAGAAGGCCUUAUGGUUGUAAAGCACUUUAAGCGUGGAGGAGGCUACUUUAGUUAAUACCUAGAGAUAGUGGACGUUACUCGCAGAAUAAGCACCGGCUAACUCUGUGCCAGCAGCCGCCGUAA